rnacentral:rRNA from 1 species
ACUCCUACGGGAGGCAGCAGUGGGGAAUAUUGCACAAUGGGGGAAGCCCUGAGCAGCCAGCGNGUGAGUAGGCAGAUCGGGCUUCGGGUUGAAUGAACAGCCACUUUUUUCCAAGGUUAAGGGGGAAGGGAAAGGGUAGUGUAGUUAACACCUGCACUAUUUGACGUUACCUACAGAAGAAGCACCGGCUAACUCCGUGCCAGCAGCCGCGGUAAUACGGAGGGUGCGAGCGUUAAUCGGAAUUACUGGGCGUAAAGCGCAUGCAGGCGGCCUGUUAAGUCAGAUGUGAAAGCCCGGGGCUUAACCUCGGAAUUGCAUUUGAAACUGGCAGGCUAGAGUCUUGUAGAGGGGGGUAGAAUUUCAGGUGUAGCGGUGAAAUGCGUAGAGAUCUGAAGGAAUACCAGUGGCGAAGGCGGCCCCCUGGACAAAGACUGACGCUCAGAUGCGAAAGCGUGGGGAGCAAACAGGAUUAGAUACCCUGGUAGCUA